rnacentral:tRNA from 1 species
GGGUUGUUAGUAAAGCCAUUACACAGUCUUGUCAAGACUGAGUCACCGGUGAAACCCCAGUACACCCCA